rnacentral:lncRNA from 10 species
AGUCCCGUUGCUGAGGGAACCCUUCGGGUGUUUGUUCUCUGUGCUGAAGUGAGAUAAGAAGCAAGGCCAUCGGCUCAAAGCAAUAAUGGUCAGAUGGUAUUGAAGGUUUGAGGAGAGAGGAGAUGGCAUAAAAUAGUCAUCUUGGAGCACAGGAAGGUGAGGCAUAAGUAUUAGUAUCCUCAUUUGAUAAACGUUACAACUGAGGCUCAAACAAAUGAUGUGACAGGGCCCAAAUUCUAAAUGCCAGGGCUCUGCCCACUGUACCCAAAGAGAAGAAGGAAGCCUGCUCAGUAGGAAGCUUCAGACUACCCAAACCUAGGAUUCCUG